UUUCCGGUUGAUCCCGCCGGAGGUCACUGCUAUCGGGGUUCGAUUAAGCCAUGCGAGUCGAGAGGGUUCAGACCCUCGGCGGACUGCUCAGUAACACGUGGAUAACCUGACCUAGGGAGGGGGAUGACCCCGGGAAACUGGGGAUAAUACCCCAUAGGAUACGGAUGCUGGAAUGCACUGUAACCGAAAGCUCCGGCGCCCUAGGAUGGAUCUGCGGCCGAUUAGGUUGUUGUUGGGGUAACGGCCCAACAAGCCGGUAAUCGGUACGGGUUGUGGGAGCAAGAGCCCGGAGAUGGAUUCUGAGACACGAAUCCAGGCCCUACGGGGCGCAGCAGGCGCGAAAACUUUACAAUGCGGGAAACCGUGAUAAGGGAACCCCGAGUGCCCGUAAACGCGGGCUGUUAGGGUGCUUAAAACACACUCUGAGAAAGGGCCGGGCAAGACCGGUGCCAGCCGCCGCGGUAAUACCGGCGGCUCGAGUGGUGGCCGCUAUUAUUGGGCUUAAAGCGUUCGUAGCUGGGUUGUUAAGUCUCUUGGGAAAUCUGACAGCUCAACCGUUAGGCGUCUAAGAGAAACUGGCGAUCUUGGGACCGGGAGAGGUGAGAGGUACUCCGGGGGUAGGAGUGAAAUCCUGUAAUCCUCGGGGGACCACCUGUGGCGAAGGCGUCUCACCAGAACGGCUCCGACAGUGAGGGACGAAAGCUGGGGGAGCAAACCGGAUUAGAUACCCGGGUAGUCCCAGCCGUAAACGAUGCGCGUUAGGUGUAUCGGUGACCACGAGUUACCGAGGUGCCGAAGGGAAACUGUGAAACGUGCCGCUUGGGAAGUACGGUCGCAAGGCUGAAACUUAAAGGAAUUGGCGGGGGAGCACAACAACGGGUGGAGCCUGCGGUUUAAUUGGAUUCAACGCCGGAA
rnacentral:rRNA from 1 species